rnacentral:misc_RNA from 1 species
AGAGACCGUAGAGUGACGUCACAAUGAAAAGUUCACUUCCGGGAGACUGUUAUUAGUUUUAUAUUUCUAUCCGUUUUAUAAAUCUUUCCUUUGGAUUCUGACUUUUAACUCAAAUCAGAAUUAUCACUUAUUGAACUAAGUUCUGCAAGGUAUGUUUAUUUUCUAAAUUUUAUCUCUAAAACCAACCGACUCCUUUUAUUGAGCCAAUAAUCGUUUUAUUCCUUAAAAUCAUUUUUAGUAAAACUAUUCCCAAAAAAGUCAUUAAAGCCUUAAAAUUAAAAAUAUUCGACGUAGUCUUUGAUUUAGCAUGCUUAGCGAGGAAAAUAGUCUCUUUCAAUAUGAUUUCUUCAUGAAUAUAGAAACAUUGCCAAGUCAUUGGUCUGCCUAAUAUUCAACGCAGAGUUAGCAACAACCUACUUAUCUAUUUUUUAUACUUUUACCGUAGUUUAUUAGAUUAAAUUUUAAAGAUAAAUCAAGAAAUUUUCUUAUUACACAAGGUAAAUUAAAAUUUACUUAGGUAUGGUUAACCACAUCGAAAAAAUUUGCCAAAAAGAAAAAUAGAUUAGACCAUGUUUUAUUAAAUAGAAAUUGUAUUGACUGAAAAUCAGUAAAAUAAAUUUUCAUAAAUAGUUUAGUUUGAACACGAUUUUACCAUUUUUUUUAUUAAAUUUUAUUGAAUUUCGGUUAGUGAUUUUUUUCUGAUUAGCUGAGUACACAUUGCUAAUUUUUACUUACUCACCAAAAGCAAGGUGUGACCUUUUUCUUACUCAACCAACUCUUAGAUCAAGAUGAAAGUUCAAUUACGAAAUAUUGCGCUGAUUUAGACAAGCUAUUCGAUAUAACAAGUUAUAUAAUAAAAUGUAUAAUGAUUAAUUUUAAAAAAUAGAUAUUUUUAAUUUUAAACAAGUAUAUCCAAAUAUAGAAACUAUAUUUUCACUUUCGAAUUGAAUUGACUCUCUAUAAUCCGUUUAAUAUGGAAGAGAGGAAGAUAAAAAAAAUGGACGAUAACGAAAUGGAGGAAUGUGACAUGGGCAGUGAUGAAGAUUAUUACAAUGAUCCAGAUCCCGAUGUAACUCAUACUGAUAACGAUAAAGAUCCAGAAUCUUUCGAGUAUAAAAUUUUAGAAGUUGUUGAGGUAGAAAUGCUCUUAAACACAUCAGUUGAAACAAUGUGUAAAACAAUUGAUGUUUCUCCUUCGUUGGCAAAACUACUUUUACAUAACUAUUCUUGGAAUACUCAAAAGAUAGAGGCCGAAUAUAGACAAAACCCGGAACAAUUGUUGAUUAAUGGAAAGAUAAAACCUUCUAAAAUAGCUAAGGGUGUUAGCCGCAAAAACGAAUGCAUUGUCUGUGCUCAAGAAGUUGAUACGCUUUUGGGGGUUGAAUGUCGGCAUCGGUUUUGUGAGACAUGUUGGUGUCAACACUUCGAAGUUCAGAUACUGAAUGGAGUUUCGACUGCAAUUGGAUGUAUGGGAACUGACUGUACUGUUUUAAUGCCGGAAGAUUUCGUUCUUUCUAUAUUACGAUGCAGAAAUCAAUCUAAACUUAGUCAGCAAUAUCAGGAGCUAACAUUCAGAAGCUAUGUUUCUAACCAUCCUGAGCUGCUUUAUUGUCCUGGACCGAAUUGCACAGCUGUAAUACAAGCAAAAGCUAAGGAAGCCAAGAGAGUUGACUGCAAAAAAUGCAAAACUACGUUCUGCUUCAAAUGUGGAAUCGAUUAUCAUGCACCAGCCGAUUGCGAUACAAUUAAGAAAUGGCUGAUCAAGUGUGCCGAUGAUUCAGAGACGGCAAAUUACAUUAGCGCUCAUACUAAGGAUUGUCCUAAGUGCCAAGUAUGUAUUGAAAAAGAUGGUGGAUGUAAUCACAUGAAAUGUAAAAAAUGUGGUCACGAUUUCUGUUGGAUGUGUCUUGGGGAUUGGAGUGCACAUGGUUCGGAAUAUUAUGAAUGUUCGAAAUACAAAGAAAACCCUAAUAUUGCUAAUGAAUCUGAGCAUGCUCAAGCUAGGGAGGCUUUAAAGAAAUAUUUAUUUUAUUUUGAACGCUGGGCUAAUCACGACAAUUCUCUGCGAAAAGAGAAGGACAAAAUGAAGGAGAUUGCAAAACAAAUUGAAGAAAAGGUAACAACAAAAGACGGCACAUGGAUCGACUGGCAAUAUUUGAACAAAGCUGGUGAAUUGUUGCGAAGAUGUCGUUACACUCUUCAAUACACUUAUCCUUAUGCUUACUACAUGUUAAAAGGAGCUAGAAAAGAAUUGUUUGAAUAUCAACAAGCACAGCUGGAAAGUGCAGUAGAAGCAUUGUCUUAUGAUAUUGAAAGAGCUGUUUUGGACUCGCGUGGUGACAUUGAAAAUAAAAUGGACGUAGUUGAAAAGCGUCGCUUAACUCUAGUCCGAGAAUUCCUUGUAACGUAA